CCGAAGAGCUACACUAAGAAGUUCUGAAUACCCUAAAGCAGUAGACAUCUGCAUUCACACCAUGAGCAAUGAUGGAUGGAACUGAGCAAUUUCUUAACCUUGCUGCCUCUGUGUUGCUUGGUCUUUGGCUAUCUCAUUAAUUCUUACAGGCUUCCUUCUCUUUCUGAAACUCCACCAUAAAUAAGGACUGGCCAGCAGAACGAUUUCGGCUGAAGAGAAACAUAAGGACCAGAGGCCUAUCAAAAGAUGAGAAAGAGUGACUUAGCCAUUGAAGAAAAGUGACCUAGUCAUUGAAGAAAACUUACACAUGAUUAUCUUCUGUCUUCUGACAUCAUUACUUUAAAACAACCUCCAGUCUGGGGAAAACCAGGCUAUGACACAUCUACCUCCAUACAACAGGUUUACAUUGGUGAAGCUAUAUGGCUGGAUACAGUUCAGUUUCUUGAUUUUCUGAUCAAUAAAGACCAUCUAUUUCA